CUCUAUGCAGCAAGGUUAAGUGAUAGGAAUCACGGAGCCGCAGCGAAAGCGAGUCUUAAUAGGGCGAUAUAGUUGUAUGGAGUAGACCCGAAACCGAGUGAUCUAGCCAUGGCCAGGUUGAAGUUCCGGUAAAACGGAAUGGAGGACCGAACCGUUGUAUGUUGAAAAAUGCUCGGAUGAGCUGUGGCUAGGGGUGAAAGGCCAAACAAACUCGGCAAUAGCUGGUUCUCCUCGAAAUAGCUUUAGGGCUAGCCUCAUGAGUUUAGUUACGGAGGUAGAGCACUGAUUGGGCUAGGGGGUCCACAAACUUACCAAACCCACUUAAACUUCGAAUGCCGUAACUUUAGAUCAUGGGAGUCAGACUGCGGGAGAUAAGUUUCGUAGUCAAAAGGGAAAGAGCCCAGACCAACAGCUAAGGUCCCCAAGUAUAUGCUAAGUGAUAAAGGAAGUGAAGUCGCACAGACACCCAGGAGGUUGGCUUAGAAGCAGCAACCCUUUAAAGAGUGCGUAAUAGCUCACUGGUCGAGUGACUUUGCGCCGAAAAUAAUUGGGGCUAAGCAUAUCACCGAAGCUUUGGAUUGUAUGUAAAUACAGUGGUAGAGGAGCGUUCUAUACGGGCUGAAGGUCAACCGCGAGGAUGGCUGGACUGUAUAGAAGUGAGUAUGCCGGCAUGAGUAACGAUAAAAGAAGUAAAAAACUUCUUCGCCGUAAGCCUAAGGUUUUCUGGGCAAUGUUAAUCAUCUCAGAGUUAGUCGGCCCCUAAGAUCAGGCUGAAAAGCGUAGUCGAUGGGAAGCAGGUUCAUAUUCCUGCACCACCCGGUGGAGGUUAUCGUGAUGGAGUGACGUAGAAGGAUAUGGACGCAGGGCGUUGGUUGUCCCUGUUCUUAUUCGUAGGCUGAAAGUCCAGGCAAAUCCGGACUUUCUUAAGGCUGAGGAUGUAGGGGAGUGGAGCUUCUAGCGAAGCGAAGGUCCUGAUUCCAUGCUACCAGGAAAAACUUCUAAACGCGAAACCGGGUGACCGUACCGCAAACCGACACAGGUAGGCGGGGAGAGUAUCCUAAGGCGCUCGAGAGAACCCUCGUUAAGGAACUCGGCAAAAUGGUCCCGUAACUUAGGGAGAAGGGACGCCCCGUUAUUGUGAAACGCUUUACGCGUGGAGCAUGAGGGGGCCGCAGAUAAAUGGCUCAAGCGACUGUUUACCAAAAACACAGGACUCUGCAAACUCGUAAGAGAAAGUAUAGGGUCUGACACCUGCCCGGUGCUGGAAGGUUAAGAGGAAGUGUUAGCUGAUAUUUAUAUUUGCGAAGCUCUGAAUUGAAGCCCCAGUAAACGGCGGCCGUAACUAUGACGGUCCUAAGGUAGCGAAAUUCCUUGUCGGGUAAGUUCCGACCUGCACGAAUGGUGUAACGACUUGAGCACUGUCUCAACGAGGGACUCGGUGAAAUUGUAAUGUUCGUGAAGAUGCGGACUACCUGCAGAAGGACGGAAAGACCCCGUGCACCUUUACUGUAGCCUGACAUUGUACUCUGGUUCAGCAUGUGUAGGAUAGGUGGGAGACUUUGAAGCCGAAACGCCAGUUUUGGUGGAGUCAUCCUUGAAAUACCACCCUUGUUGUAUUGGACUACUAACCGGUACCCUUUGAACAGGGGCUGGGACAUUGUCUGGUGGGCAGUUUGACUGGGGCGGUCGCCUCCUAAAGUGUAACGGAGGCGCUCAAAGGUUCCCUCAGCACGGACGGAAAUCGUGCGUAGAGUGCAAACGCAUAAGGGAGCUUAACUGCGAGACCUACAAGUCGAGCAGAUACGAAAGUAGGAGUUAGUGAUCCGGUGGUCCCGCGUGGAAGGGCCAUCGCUCAACGGAUAAAAGGUACGCCGGGGAUAACAGGCUUAUAGCGCCCAAGAGUUCAUAUCGACGGCGCUGUUUGGCACCUCGAUGUCGGCUCGUCGCAUCCUGGGGCUGGAGAAGGUCCCAAGGGUUGGGCUGUUCGCCCAUUAAAGCGGCACGCGAGCUGGGUUCAGAACGUCGUGAGACAGUUUGGUCCCUAUCCUCUGCAGGCGUUGGAAAUUUGAGGAGAGCUGUUCCUAGUACGAGAGGACCGGAAUGGACGAACCUCUGGUGAACCAGUUGUCGCGCCAGCGGCACAGCUGGGUGGCUAUGUUCGGAACGGAUAACCGCUGAAAGCAUCUAAGCAGGAAGCCGACUCCAAGAUUAGAUUUCCCUCUGGCUUUAAGCCAGCUGAAGACUCCUGGAAGACUACCAGGUCGAUAGGAUGGAGGUGUAAGUGUGGUGACACAUUCAGCCGACCAUUACUAAUCAGUCGUGAGGCUUGACC
rnacentral:rRNA from 1 species